AGCAGUAGCCGCGGUAAUACGUAGGGUGCAAGCGUUAAUCGGAAUUACUGGGCGUAAAGCGUGCGCAGGCGGUUCGCUAAGACAGAUGUGAAAUCCCCGGGCUUAGCCUGGGAACUGCAUUUGUGACUGGCGGGCUAGAGUAUGGCAGAGGGGGGUAGAAUUCCACGUGUAGCAGUGAAAUGCGUAGAGAUGUGGAGGAAUACCGAUGGCGAAGGCAGCCCCCUGGGCCAAUACUGACGCUCAUGCACGAAAGCGUGGGGAGCAAACAGGAUUAGAUACCCGCGUAGUCCCUGUCUCUUAUAC
rnacentral:rRNA from 1 species